AUUGAACGCUGGCGGCAGGCCUAACACAUGCAAGUCGAGCGCGCGGCGGACGGGUGAGUAAUGUAUGGGGACUGCCCGAUAGAGGGGGAUAACUACUGGAAACGGUGGCUAAUACCGUCUUCUAUCGGAUAGCCCAAAUGGGAUUAGCUAGUAGGUGGGGUAAAGGCUCACCUAGGCGACGAUCUCUAGCUGGUCUAAGAGGAUGAUCAGAAACACUGGGACUGAGACACGGCCCAGACUCCAAGGGAGGCAGCAGUGGGGAAUAUUGAACAAUGGGCGCAAGCCUGAUGCAGCCAUGCCGCGUGUGUGAAGAAGGCCUUAGGGUUGUAAAGUACUUAAAGCGGGGAGGCGUUGACCGCAGAAGAAGCACCGGCUAAGUCCGUGCCAGCGGCCGCGGUAAUUC
rnacentral:rRNA from 1 species